UACGAAGGGGGCUAGCGUUGCUCGGAAUCACUGGGCGUAAAGGGUGCGUAGGCGGGGCUUUAAGUCAGGGGUGAAAUCCUGGAGCUCAACUCCAGAACUGCCUUUGAUACUGAAGAUCUUGAGUCCGGAAGAGGUGAGUGGAACUGCGAGUGUAGAGGUGAAAUUCGUAGAUAUUCGCAAGAACACCAGUGGCGAAGGCGGCUCACUGGUCCGGUACUGACGCUGAGGCACGAAAGCGUGGGGAGCAAACAGG
rnacentral:rRNA from 1 species